rnacentral:snRNA from 1 species
UCCUAUCAUUGUGAAGCAGA